GAGCGGCCCGGCCAGCCCUUCGCCCCUCCUUUUACAUAACGAGAGAACGUGUGCUGCCCUCACGAGCCACAACAGCGCGAGCUCGUCUCUUCCAUUGGAAGCCUGCGGGAUACCCAUUGAUUGUUCCAGUGUUGGUCUUAAUGAGGUAUGAUUGUGACAUUUGGCAUUGUUCCACAACUACUGAAGGAUUGGACCAGUCUUUAUUCUCGUUCAUCUUUAUACUUACUUGUGAUCCUUUUGGCAGUGAUGAUAAUAUGGUCUCCAGGCAACAGAGAGAGAUAAAGAAAAAGGCAUAUCUCCACAAGGAAGAGGCUAGAAUAUCUCCACAAGGAAGAGGCUAGAAUUUCAUUUUUAAAAAUGAAAGGU